GACUAUGUGAGGCAGAGUGAUGGAGUCACUCGCUGUAUUAGCAUUUCAGAGCUCACCCAUGGACAUCAAUACUCAGGAGACAUGAAUACUCAGUUGGACUAAGUUCAAGAGAACGUUUUGAACUUUAAGGAGUUGUUGGCACCCCUCCGUUCUGGAGCCCGGGUCUAUGCACGUGGGCCUCAUUUUGAAUGAUCAGCCCCUCUCCUCUGCCCAACUCAGUUGUUCUCAGCCUGGACUGCACAUUACACCCACCCAUGGAAACUUUGCAAGUCAUGCUCUCCUCCCUUCUCCAUCUCCACAGACCAAUUUGAUGGAAACAUACCUCUUCACACCUUUCGCCCUCCCUGUAUAUACCUGUGUUUUCUCCAGCCAGCAAAAAUUUGGAUUUUACGGAGAAGCAUCAGAACUAUAGUAUAGGGGAACGAAAUACAGAUUUACUACAUAAACCUAACUGUGGAGCAGAGGUCUCUUAACGGCCCAUGCCGACGUCAGUGGACAAGGACCGCAUCACGGACUGACAUCUGGCAGAGAAAGCCCAGUACCGGCAGUGUGGGGGAGCACUCUCUGGGGUGGGAGUGAUAAUGGUGGGUACAGUGUGGCAGCUGCGCUAUGUGUCCAGACGUGUGUGUUUAUGUCUAUGUUUGGCCUUUGCCUAAGAGCUUCAGCUCAAUAAGGGACUCAGGUCUGAGCGCCUUUGCUCCUGACUCCAAGAGACACGUGGGCUGGAAUCGCCAAGUCAAGGAAACUGCCGUCCGCUGGGCCAGUGAAACACUGGAGCCUGGGCAUCCUUUUAUUAGGCUCUUCCCUGAGUGUUUUUUAUUUCUUCAAACACUGCUAAGUGGCAGUGGUGCCAGGACCCUAAGAAUCAGCCCCUACAGAGGAAGAGCCUCUGUUCUAUCCGAACGGCACCAGCAAAUAAACUCCUGGAGGCCAGGGACCCUUCUGGUUGUAUCCCCAGGGUCUGCCACAUAGUAAGUGUGCGGCAAGUGUUUGCUGAAAGAAUUGAAACUAUAGCAUAGUUUUGUCAGAGUGAAGCCAUUUACAGGUAGGUGGUACCACUCUCAUCUGCAUUAUUUUUAUGCAAGUGUCCGUAAGGUCAUGACUAACAGGUUAGAGAUCCGCUGGAGCUGGUAAGUCAGUGAACCGAUAUCUGGUGUGGAACACAACAUAAAAUGAAUUUCUUUCCAAUUUGUCAUGCCAGUUUGCGGUUUUGUUUUAUGAAAUUUCUGAUACGGGUUGAAAAAAGUAGAAGAGUUGAAACACUGUUGCCUGAUAGGAUUUGUACUCCUGCCUCAUGAAGUUAGUAGUUGUAUCUUCACUGUGUGGGCUGGAAAGAGCUGUUAGCGACUGUCAUGACUGCCACUGAAAUCACUUUCAAAGCAGUUAAAAUAUUUUUGGAUCCCUAUGACGCAAAGCCCUAAGAGGAAGGGAAAGGAGGUCAAAGACAUUUAAUAAUUUGUCUCUGCCCUUAAGAGGCAUAAGUUCUAGUUGAGGGGCUGAGACAUAUACAUAUCUAUGGGGCUCACACCUUCAUUUCUUAUAAAACUUGCUAAAAUGUUCUAUCCACUUACCUGACCUUAUUUUGCUUCAUGGUACUUAUCACGUGUUUGUUCGCUAUCUGCUCCCACCAGAAUGGAAGUCCAUGAGGAUAAAAGGGAUUUGUUUAUUUUGUUCAUUUCUCUGUUUCUAGUGCCCUGUGCACUGGUUGGCACGUAGUAACCCCUUAGUAAAUAUAUAUUGAAUGAACUAUCAAUGUCAGGUAGCCUAUAAAUUCUUUAUUGACUAAGACUAGGUAAUUUGUGAGUCUUUUGAUGAUUACAUUUUAUAGUUACCCAUGGUCAAGGACAAAUGAUCAGCCAAUAAAAAAGAAUUUUAAAAAACCCCACUGUUUUAUUCUAUUCAGAAAAGAGAUGUGGAAUCCAGUAAUUUCACCUCUUUUAAACAUUUCUUGAUAUAUCUUAUUUUCGAUACAUCUUUUUUUCAGCAAGGCUUUUCGUUUGUUUGUUUCUGGUGUUUCUGCUAGAGUCAGUUAUCUUUCCCACCUCUGUUGCUGAAGUGACAACAGUACAGAUGGUCCUCAAAAAUGUCUGAUGACAUUUUGUACUAUACAGAACCAUAUACUCACAGAAAUCAUCUCUUUAUGGAUAUUGCAGUCUUUGGGGGAAAUAAAGGCCACAAGUUCUAAAUUGAUUAUUUGAGGGGGGAAAAGAAUCAAUACAUAACUGCUUAAUGUCUCUCAGACUCUGAAUUACAGGAAAAUUUUUGUUGAAACACAAUGAAGUUAUACUGUGCAAUUCAAUCACAGAGUAAAUCAUUCAGAGUUGGUUUUGCCCUAAAAUCCAUCAAUAAUAGCAAUAAUGUUUGGUAGCAAAUGCAAUUUUGAAGACUGAUGUGAACUGUCUACUUAAAAAGCCACAGCACUAACCAAUUACAUUUUCUCAUAGUCAUUUCCAGUUGUUUUUUAUUUUUUGUUUUGUUUUGUUUUGGGUAGGCAUGGUAUCUUGGAUAACACCCGGUGAUAAUAACUAAGGAACUGUAAUUCUGCAGCCUUAGCUUGGCUUAUUUUAUGCCUUAGGGAAUGAAUAAGCAUGUAAAUUAGACAUGAGUCACUACAGUCACUUGUCAAUCCAGAAAUAUUCAUGAGCAAGGUAGGCCAAAAAUGACUGGUGGUGAUUGUUGAAUCUACUGAAAUGUAGAGCUUUCUUUAAAAUAUAUUACUUUCUCUAAUUGAGUUAGAUGAGUUUCACACAUUUGGCUCAUAUACCAACCCGAGGGAUUGAUAAACAGGAGGUGAAAACCCGAGGGUCAGGUUAAAUUUGAAAAAAAAAAAAUCAGAAAAUCACUUAAGAUCGGGUAAGAUGACCUUUAAACUACCUUCCGACCAGACACUACGAUUUUAAGGAAUCGUAGCCCAUCGCAGCGUGCAUUCAUCCAGCAGGAUCUCGCAGAGCAGCAGUAGGAAUCUGAAAUAUCAGUGAUAGAGAGGAAGAGAUAAUUCACAAAUUCCUCAAUCCAGAUUGACAAAUAGCCAAACGGGUAUUUUCCAAGCUUGCUGGGUCUGAAGAGUGACGCGAUAAGCUUGUUAAAAAUACCUAGGCUCAGGUUCCUCUCCAUCCCUGAGCUUUGCAGAUUCGGAUGGAGUGGACACAAUUUGAAUAAAAAGGAAAACUUUCCUAAAAUCCUACCAGGAAUUAGAUAAAUGUAGCUUUACUGUUCCACAUCAAUUACAUAAAAUGACUCAUCCUAACCAUCUACAUGUUUUCCUGGUCCAGGGGGUUGUGAGUUUAGAUUUUAAAUUACCACAGGCAGAGAAGUUUAACCACAUCCAAAUUUGACUAAUGUUUUACAUAUAUAUAUGUAUAUUUACUUAAUAUUUAAAAAUUAUAUAUACUUAUGUAAUAUUAUGCAUAUAAAAUAUGUAUUAUAUAUAACACUGUAUGUGUGGUUGCUUUUUAAAACACUGAAUGGGAAAGACAUGUUUUCACAUCCUCAUUUGUACUGCAAUAUCAAUUUUCAGGAAAAGAGGACUUCCCAAAGCUUUAAAAAAGUGUGCAAUUGCCAAUCAGAUGUUUUAGAUUACAUUGUUAACACUAUUUAUCAUGGAAAAAAUGAUGUGAAAGGAUGAGCACACUGAUAUCUGAACAACAUCGUUAAAAAUAAAAAAAGUUU